rfam:Ricinus communis cultivar Hale ctg_1100012360219, whole genome shotgun sequence.
ACGGGUUUGUUUUCUAAUAUUGACAAAUAAACCUCUCUUACGGGAUUGUUUUCUCAUAUUAAAAAAUAUACCACUUUUUUGGGGUUGUUUUCUCAUCUUGAAAGAUAUACACCUAUUACGUGAUGAUGCGGCUGACGGCAAGGUUAGGGAGUCCGGAGACAUCGGCGGGGUCCUCGGGAAGAGUUAUCUUUUCUGUUUAAUAGCCCGCCCACCAUUGAAACGACUCAGUCGGAGGUAGGGUCUAGCGGUUGGAAGAGCACCACACAUCGCAUUGUGUCCGGUGUGCCCCCAGCGGCCCAUGAAAAUUUAGAGGACCGAAUGCAAUCCACGCCCGGUCGUACUCAUAACCGCAUCAGGU